rnacentral:lncRNA from 1 species
CGAGGAGGAGGAGGAGGAGGACGAGGAGGAGGAGGAGGAGGACGGGGAGGAGGAGGAGGAGGAGAGAGCAGAGUGUACCGCAGACAUCAUUUCUACUACAGUGGCGGAGCCGUACAGGACCUGUUUCACUGCAGGGGGAUCACAAAACAAGCCCCGCGGAGCAGCCGCCAGAGCUACAGCAGCCGCAAGACACUGUUUCUCUCCCUCUGCCCCCCCUUCCCCACGCAACCCCAGAUCCAUUUACACUUUACAGAGCAUCGUGCAGCAGCCAGUCCCCAGGGUGGUCCGUUCAAGCUGCGGAUUUGUUUGCCAUCACUCUAAGACAAUCUCCUCCUCCACGGCCACUCCAGGGAAGUGCAUCACAAAUCAGCAUACUGGAGCAAAAUGAAAGAAUUUGUUCUGAGGCCUCAAAAGUAGUGCUGCUACGGACCAUGAGCAAGAAAGGGUGGACUUCAGCCUGCACGGAUGGUCUUGAAACACAAAUAGUUGUGGGUCUAGGCAUUUUACAUUGA